AAGCGAAGCAAACUGUAAGGUUUUUUGCGAGAGAUUAUGUUUAGUUUUGAGCGUAGUAGCUCAAAAGAG
rnacentral:rRNA from 1 species